AUGGUCAGGUGGUCUGAGAUCUGCAAACCUCGCGACCAAGACGGACUCGGGAUUAUGUCCUUCAAAUGCAUGAACAUUGCCCUCCUAACUCGGUGGCUCUGGUAGAUUGCCAACGGAGGUGGUGGCCUGUGGCUUCGCAUCAUUCAGCAGAAAUACCUCCGUGGCUAG
rnacentral:rRNA from 1 species